rnacentral:tRNA from 8 species
ACUAUUUUGGCAGAAAAUUGUAAUGAUUUUAGAAUUCAUAUAUAUAUAUACAUAUUUAUAAGUUAUAUAUAAAUAGUA